CCGAGUUAUACAACUCAUCAACCCUGUGAACAUACCUAAACGUUGCUUCGGCGGGAACAGACGGCCCCGUAACACGGGCCGCCCCCGCCAGAGGACCCCCUAACUCUGUUUCUAUAAUGUUUCUUCUGAGUAAAACAAGCAAAUAAAUUAAAACUUUCAACAACGGAUCUCUUGGCUCUGGCAUCGAUGAAGAACGCAGCGAAAUGCGAUAAGUAAUGUGAAUUGCAGAAUUCAGUGAAUCAUCGAAUCUUUGAACGCACAUUGCGCCCGCCAGUAUUCUGGCGGGCAUGCCUGUUCGAGCGUCAUUACAACCCUCAGGCCCCCGGGCCUGGCGUUGGGGAUCGGCGGAGCCCCCCGCGGGCACACGCCGUCCCCCAAAUACAGUGGCGGUCCCGCCGCAGCUUCCAUUGCGUAGUAGCUAACACCUCGCAACUGGAGAGCGGCGCGGCCACGCCGUAAAACCCCCAACUUCUGAACGUUGACCUCGAAUCAGGUAGGAAUACCCGCUGAACUUAAGCAUAUCAAUAAGCGGAGGAAAAGAAACCAACAGGGAUUGCCCUAGUAACGGCGAGUGAAGCGGCAACAGCUCAAAUUUGAAAUCUGGCUCUCGGGCCCGAGUUGUAAUUUGUAGAGGAUGCUUUUGGUGAGGUGCCUUCCGAGUUCCCUGGAACGGGACGCCACAGAGGGUGAGAGCCCCGUCUGGUUGGACACCGAUCCUCUGUAAAGCUCCUUCGACGAGUCGAGUAGUUUGGGAAUGCUGCUCUAAAUGGGAGGUAUAUGUCUUCUAAAGCUAAAUACCGGCCAGAGACCGAUAGCGCACAAGUAGAGUGAUCGAAAGAUGAAAAGAACUUUGAAAAGAGAGUUAAAAAGUACGUGAAAUUGUUGAAAGGGAAGCGCUUGUGACCAGACUUGGGCUUGGUUGAUCAUCCAGGGUUCUCCCUGGUGCACUCUUCCGGCCCAGGCCAGCAUCAGUUCGCCCCGGGGGAAAAAGGCUUCGGGAAUGUGGCUCUCUCCGGGGAGUGUUAU
rnacentral:rRNA from 1 species